rnacentral:rRNA from 1 species
GAUGAACGCUGGCGGCGUGCCUAAUACAUGCAAGUCGAGCGAACAGACGAGGAGCUUGCUCCUCUGACGUUAGCGGCGGACGGGUGAGUAACACGUGGAUAACCUACCUAUAAGACUGUGAUAACUUCGGGAAAUCGGAGCUAAUACCGGAUAAUAUAUUGAACCGCAUUGUUCAAUAGUGAAAGACGGUUUUGCUGUCACUUAUAGAUUGCUCCGCGCCACAUUAGCUAGUUGGGAAGGUAACGGCUUACCAAGGCAACGAUGCGUAGCCGACCUGAAAGGGUGGUCGGCCAGACGGGAACUGAGAAGGGGACCAGACUCCGAGGGGAGGCAACAGUAGGGAAUCUUACGCAAGGGACGAGAGGGUGACAGAGCAAAACCGCGUGAAGGAUGAAGGACUAAGGAUCGUAAAGCUAUGUUAUUAGGGAAGAACAAAUGUGUAAGUAACUAUGCACGUCUUGACGGUACCGAAUCAAAAAGCCACGGCUAACUACGUG